AUACGGAGGGUCCAAGCGUUAUCCGGAUUCAUUGGGUUUAAAGGGUCCGCAGGCGGGAAAAUAAGUCAGUGGUGAAAGCCUACAGCUCAACUGUAGAACUGCCAUUGAUACUGUUUUUCUUGAGUAUAGAUGAAGUGGGCGGAAUAUAUCAUGUAGCGGUGAAAUGCAUAGAUAUGAUAUAGAACACCGAUUGCGAAGGCAGCUCACUAAACUAUUACUGACGCUCAGGGACGAAAGCGUGGGGAGCGAACAGGAUUAGAUACCCUAGUAGUCC
rnacentral:rRNA from 1 species